rnacentral:rRNA from 1 species
UGGGGAAUUUUGGACAAUGGGGGAAACCCUGAUCCAGCCAUCCCGCGUGUGCGAUGAAGGCCUUCGGGUUGUAAAGCACUUUUGGCAGGAAAGAAACGUCGCGGGUUAAUACCCCGCGAAACUGACGGUACCUGCAGAAUAAGCACCGGCUAACUACGUGCCAGCAGCCGCGGUAAUACGUAGGGUGCAAGCGUUAAUCGGAAUUACUGGGCGUAAAGCGUGCGCAGGCGGUUCGGAAAGAAAGAUGUGAAAUCCCAGAGCUUAACUUUGGAACUGCAUUUUUAACUACCGGGCUAGAGUGUGUCAGAGGGAGGUGGAACUCCGCGUGUAGCAGUGAAAUGCGUAGAUAUGCGGAGGAACACCGAUGGGCGAAGGCAGCCUCCUGGGAUAACACUGACGCUCAUGCACGAAAGCGUGGGGAGCAAACAGGAUUAGAUACCCUGGUAGUCCACGCCCUAAACGAUGUCAACUAGCUGUUGGGGCCUUCGGGCCUUGGUAGCGCAGCUAACGCGUGAAGUUGACCGCCUGGGGAGUACGGUCGCAAGAUUAAAACUCAAAGGAAUUGG